CGAACGCUGGCGGCGUGCUUAACACAUGCAAGUCGAACGCGAAAGUUUCUUUCGGGAAACGAGUAGAGUGGCGCACGGGUGAGUAACGCGUAAGUAAUCUACCCUUGCAUCUGGGAUAACCCACCGAAAGGUGUGCUAAUACCGGAUACGUUUACAGUAUCGCAGGGUACUGUAAAGAAAGGUGGCCUCUUCAUGAAAGCUACUGUGCAGGGAGGAGCUUGCGUACCAUUAGCUAGUUGGUAGGGUAAUGGCCUACCAAGGCAACGAUGGUUAGCGGGUCUGAGAGGAUGAUCCGCCACACUGGAACUGGAACACGGACCAGACUCCUACGGGAGGCAGCAGUGAGGAAUAUUGCGCAAUGGGGGAAACCCUGACGCAGCGACGCCGCGUGGAUGAUGAAGGCUUUCGGGUCGUAAAAUCCUGUCAGAUGGGAAGAAAUGCAUAUAGACUAAUAUUUUAUAUGUUUGACGGUACCAUCAAAGGAAGCACCGGCUAACUCC
rnacentral:rRNA from 1 species